UACAUACCUGUGACUAUCACAAGGUGGCAGU
rnacentral:piRNA from 1 species